AUAGCGUAUAUUCAAGUUGUUGCAGUUAAAAAGCUCGUAGUUGAAUUUCGGACCUGGUUAGGUGGUUUAGUCGCAAGAUUAACACUGCUUCGACUGGGUCUUUCCUUCUAGGGAACUAAUGUGCUCUUUCUUUGAGUGUGUUAGGGAUCUAGGACUGUUACUUUGAAAAAAUUAGAGUGUUCAAAACAAGCUUAUGCUUGAAUACAUUAGCAUGGAAUAACGGAAUAGGACUUUGUUUCUAUUUUGUUGGUUUUGAGAAACGAGGUAAUGAUUAAUAGGGAUAGUUGGGGGCAUUAGUAUUCCAUAGUCAGAGGUGAAAUUCUUGGAUUUAUGAAAGACUAACUUCUG
rnacentral:rRNA from 1 species